rnacentral:lncRNA from 13 species
CCUUUUGUUGCCCUAAGGGCUGUGUGCUGUGAGUCAAAUCACUGGGCAACCAGGUACCUUCAAAAAAGCCCCAAGCUCUCUGGAAACUACUGUGUAUUCUAGCUGAAACUGCAGGGAAAGGAGGGCAUCAGGCUUAGGGAACCAAUCCCAGUCCUUCUACCAGUUCCUUAUAACUAUUCAAACUCCCUUUAAAGAGGCUCAUAUUGUAAUACCCUGUUGACAAGUAGCUACCACUUCACUUCCGCUGGGGUGAGAGCUGGUAGCUCCUCCCUGUUAAAUGCACAUCUCAAUGCCUCUGCCCUAAGUGAGUUGUGCAAUAAACAAGUUGUCAUACUGAACAGGUGGGAAAGAAGUGAACUGCUUGUUCACUUGCUAAUAUUGCCACUGCUGGUCCAGAAAUAGAAGAUAAGACAGCAGCAGCAACAACAACAACAAACAGCACAAAAAACAAUGACAAAAAAACCUCCAAGCUCCCUUCAGUAGUUGCUACACCUUCAGAUUGAGACAUCCGUCCUUAUUUGCAAACCUCAGCUGUGUCUGGGGGCAGGGCCACAGUGAAACUGCCAGGAGCAAAAAGGCUUCCAAGGAAAAGUACCACAUCAGACUGGAAACUGGGGGCAGAUCAAUCCUGGGAUGUGACAGGCUCUCUCUCCAAAGGACCCACGGACCAAAGCUGACAGUUUCUUUACUUGCAGGGAGCUGACAGAAUU